AGAUCCUACUGCAUCCUACUGUUGCAUCCUACUGUUAGUAUUUCAAUGGAUGUACAAAUGAUUUCUGGGAUUCCUGUGAGCAGAUCUACUCCAAGAUCUCACAUCCCAUUUAAUUAUGUCCCUUUAUUUUUCUCCAAUCUGUGACAAAGAACUGUGUCUUUUAAAUUAAAAUUAAAGUUUAUUUUAUUCUGA